rnacentral:tRNA from 1 species
GCCUAGUUAGCUUAGUUGGUAGUGCGUCUGCCUUGUAAGCGCUAGGUCGCGGGUUCGAUUCCCGCCCGGGGCU